rnacentral:lncRNA from 1 species
UUUCCUCAUAAGGUGGAAAAUGGCGUGGAACACUCUUAGCCAUGAUUCUCCGGUACACAGGUGAUUAUGAGUCAGCCUUGGCACUGCGGAACUCCACUUCAGGAAUGGAACCUGGUUUGAACUUUGGUGCUGGGAAGAGAGGAGAGAAAUUUUCCCUGAAAAUCUGUAUCUCAAAACUGGAUCUCAGGACAAAAGAAAAAAAAAGAGACUAUGUCAAGUCAGAAGUAUUUUCUCCAUUUGAGAUGGUAAAGUAUUGCUCUGUUUGAAGUUAGUUGAAAGACAUUGUUUAUGCUUUCUAGUAGUUGCAGUUCUUGUGAUUGCUUCUGUGGUUAUAAAUACAUAAUCAAUAUUUGAUCAUCUAUCGGUACUCUUAAGAAAGAUGAAAAUUUAGCUUAUUAGCACUCACCAUUCUUCUCUCCAUCCACUUCCUUUCCCAGUAUGAAAUUUUACGUUAUUAAAUUUAGCCUGCCAUUAACAUAGUAAUUAUAUUUAAAAUGUACACAAACUUAUGCUUCUUGUUCCAGCAAGUAAAGCCAUUUCUCUUGGCUUAUUAUUGCCUAGAUGAAGAUAUUAGUACUCUCAUUCUUUAUAUUACCUAU